ACUAGUCAAACAGAUUAGCAAUGGGACCACCAAGAGAGUACAUUCAACCCCAAUUCAGAGAUGUCUCAGUUUAUCUGUUUUCUGUCAAUCAUUAAGAAAGAUGAAAUAUACAAUUAUGUGCAAGGAGACAGAACUCCUAAUUCUUUCAUCCUAGCUGAAGCAAAAGAAUUUUAAUUGCUUAAAAAAAUUAGAUUUUUGUUUC
rfam:Tursiops truncatus cont1.434824, whole genome shotgun sequence.